rnacentral:rRNA from 1 species
CCUGGAUGAGUGGCGAACGGGUGAGUAACACGUGAGUAACCUGCCCCCUUCUUCUGGAUAACCGCAUGAAAGUGUGGCUAAUACGGGAUAUUCUGGGUCUGUCGCAUGGUGGGCCUGGGAAAGAUUGCGCUUUUUUUGGUGUUUUUGGUGGGGGAUGGGCUCGCGGCCUAUCAGCUUGUUGGUGGGGUGAUGGCCUACCAAGGCGGUGACGGGUAGCCGGCCUGAGAGGGUGGACGGUCACACUGGGACUGAGACACGGCCCAGACUCCUACGGGAGGCAGCAGUGGGGAAUAUUGCACAAUGGGCGCAAGCCUGAUGCAGCGACGCCGCGUGAGGGAUGGAGGCCUUCGGGUUGUGAACCUCUU